GCCCUUUGCACUGGGAUAGCCUCGGAACGAGGUUAAUACCGGAUACUCCAUAUUUGUCGCAUGGCGAAUAUGGGAAAGCUCCGGCGGCAAAGGAUGGGCCCGCGGCCUGUUAGCUAGUUGGUGGGGGUAGUGGCCUACCAAGGCAAUGAUGGGUAGCCGGGUUGAGAGACCGACCGGCCAGAUUGGGGACUGAGACACGGCCCAGACUCCUACGGGAGGCAGCAGUU
rnacentral:rRNA from 1 species